GGCACGGUGGUGCAUUGGUUAGCGCUGUUGCCUCACAGCAAGAAGGUUGUGGGUUCGAUUCCGGCCUGGGGCC